UGAACCCCAGGAAGGGCUGGAUUGGGUGCCUGGGGCGACGGUUAUUCUUGGCCUGGGACUCGGUCACGUCUCCGUGGAAAUAUUGCUAAUUGUUCCUUCACUUGAAAGACGAGACUGUAGACAAAAUAUUUUUAAACCUUGACGAGCCUGUUACUCCCAAAAGCUUCUCUUCAAAUUACUUGGAGAUGCUGGUGUUAACCGGGAAAACACUUAAAUUACAUUCCAUGGAUCUGCAGAAAGUUCACUGUGUCACCUAAGAUGGUACUUCUACAAGGCUUUGGAGCUUUGGGCAAAACAGGAAAUAUGAUGACCAGAGUAGCAAAAUCUCAGGAAGGACAUUUAACUGGACCUCCAGAAUCGUAGUGAAGGACAGGAGAGAGAGCAGGACUAUCUCUCUCCAACUCUGAUCCACGCUUCUCUCUGAGUCUGUUCUUUUGGGACUAAAAUCUUCUGCCCUGGAGAACCUGGACUUUUGACAACUCAUCGCUUCAUGUUGAAAAGCACUGCUUCUCUUUUUGAAAUUAUCAUUUGAAGAUUCCUGUGGAAGGACACAAAAGGCAGCCAAGCUCACGCGCCUACUCUUGUGAAUACAGAGAUCAGUUCUAGAAUUGGCAGCAUCCGUUAGAACAAUGUAGCACAAGUAAAGAGAAGAACAGGAUCCCCUGCAAAAGGACAGUUCUGUUUCCAGAAAGGGGGACGUGCUGGGGAGAUAAAAUAAGUAUUUAUAAGAUUAUAUUUUUAAAAACCAGAAUUAUAUUUACUAAAUGUGAAAUAAAGGUAUCGUUUUCAAUUGCUUUCUAUUUUACAUAAAUUGUUUUUCUUUGCCUUCUAGUGCUUAUCUCAUCUUUCUUCUGGCACAAAUGCUUUUCUUACACAGCAUCACUAAGUCCUAUCCCUUCCCUCCUCC
rnacentral:lncRNA from 1 species